UGAGCUGGGGGUGGCCGCAGAGACCAGCGAGAAGCGACUGUUUACUAAAAACACAGGUCCGUGCGAAGCCGUAAGGCGAUGUAUACGGACUGACGCCUGCCCGGUGCUGGAACGUUAAGGGGACCGGUUAGUCCUACUUCGGUGGGGCGAAGCUGAGAACUUAAGCGCCAGUAAACGGCGGUGGUAACUAUAACCAUCCUAAGGUAGCGAAAUUCCUUGUCGGGUAAGUUCCGACCUGCACGAAUGGCGUAACGACUUCUCGACUGUCUCAACCACAGGCCCGGUGAAAUUGCAGUACGAGUAAAGAUGCUCGUUUCGCGCAGCAGGACGGAAAGACCCCGGGACCUUUACUAUAGCUUGAUAUUGGUGUUCGGUUCGGCUUGUGUAGGAUAGGUGGGAGACUGUGAAUCCCAGGCGCCAGCCUGGGGGGAGUCGUCGUUGAAAUACCACUCUGGUCGUGCUGGAUGUCUAACCUCGGUCCGUGAUCCGGAUCAGGGACAGUGUCUGGUGGGUAGUUUAACUGGGGCGGUUGCCUCCUAAAGGGUAACGGAGGCGCCCAAAGGUUCCCUCAGCCUGGUUGGCAAUCAGGUGGUGAGUGUAAGUGCACAAGGGAGCUUGACUGUGAGACUGACGGGUCGAGCAGGUACGAAAGUAGGGACUAGUGAUCCGGCGGUGGCUUGUGGAAGCGCCGUCGCUCAACGGAUAAAAGGUACCCCGGGGAUAACAGGCUGAUCUUCCCCAAGAGUCCAUAUCGACGGGAUGGUUUGGCACCUCGAUGUCGGCUCGUCGCAUCCUGGGGCUGGAGUCGGUCCCAAGGGUUGGGCUGUUCGCCCAUUAAAGCGGUACGCGAGCUGGGUUUAGAACGUCGUGAGACAGUUCGGUCCCUAUCCGCUGUGCGCGUUGGAGUCUUGAGAAGGGCUGUCCCUAGUACGAGAGGACCGGGACGGACGGACCUCUGGUGUGCCAGUUGUUCUGCCAAGGGCAUGGCUGGUUGGCUACGUUCGGGAGGGAUAACCGCUGAAAGCAUCUAAGCGGGAAGCCUGCUUCGAGAUGAGGACUCCCACCCCUUUGAGGGGGUAAGGCUCCCGGUAGACGACCGGGUUGAUAGGCCGGAUGUGGAAGCAUCGUAAGGUGUGGAGCUGACCGGUACUAAUAGGCCGAGGGCUUGUCCUC
rnacentral:rRNA from 1 species